rnacentral:lncRNA from 1 species
GAUUUUUAAAAAGGACUUGUAAUGGGAAAUGUCUUUCCUUCUUUUUUGCAUAAAGCCUGCCAUAAGUUGACUUUUCUGCAAAAUUUUGGCAUUAAUAACUUCUGCUUUAUAUUAGAAAAAAAGUUAUUAUGGGUGAAAUAAUCUGCAAAAUGCUCCCACCUUUAACAGCGUUAUAAAGGACUUUUUCUCAGAAAUGAAGGGCUUUUAAUUGAUUCCAAGCUCAAGUAUAAAAAUACAUAUAACCCCCCUCAUAAAAAAUUAUUUGUUAUUGUUUGCAAUACUUCACUUUUUUUUUUUUUUUUUUUUUUUUUUUUAAGGAAAUACUUAUAGCAGCCAUUAGCUAUAACGUGGCAGCAGGGGAGCACUGCUCUUGUGAAUGUUCAUUCAUGGUUUUCGGAGCAUGGCAGACUCGAGUAUCCUCUUAUUGUCCGCUAAGAAAGUGCGGAGAAAAUAGAUUUCCUGGGUGGUCCGACUCAUUAAUACACUGUGCACUUCUUGAUUUACGGCUCACAGUUCAACUGCUGCCAAUUAACAUGAAAACACACAACAACAAGAAGGAGGAGGAGGAGGUGGGGGGAGUACAGACGGGGAGGAGGAGGCCGAUGAGUUUCCUCCUGUUGGCACAAAACUUGAGUCAGGAUGAACCUGCCCUCCACAUCAAGCUAUCACGAGCUCGACGGACGCAAACGCGUGUGCGCUGCUGCUGCUGGCGCCGAUGGAGGCUACUGUAAAUUAAAAGAGAGAGAGGAAGAAAUAACAACAAAAACAACAACAGCAACACAAAAUUGAAUAAAGGUACCUAAAGGCUCUCAUCACACUAACGACUGCUAAACAACAGCAAACAUUUAGCCUCCGUUUGGAAAAAGAAAAAAGAAAAGGAAAAAAAAGGAGCAUUUGUUCACGGGUUAUAUAAAAGAGCUACAGCUGAUAAUAUUUUAUUAUGAUUAUUGUUAAUAAAGAUUUUGCAGCUGUUCAAGGUUGGCUGCAGAUUUGAGGUCCUGUUGAAAUGCUUUAAUAAAUACCGACAAUCACACUUUAUUUAUAUUUGUGCACUUGCACUGUGGCAUAAUUUUAUAUUAGACGUGCAAAAGGACAAAAAAAAAUAUAUUUUAAAAGGCAAAACAAGCAUUUAAAAUAUGGUAUAGUGGCGCUUAUAGUAGCGCUUUAUAAGAUUCUUACAGGCGUACGAUGGGCCGGCUUAUCAUGACGGAGGGUACAUCACAGAAAGCAUGGCAGCCUAGCAGGCCAUGCUAAACACAACUACAAAUGUGAUGUGUCGAAUUUAGCUUCCACGCCGUCUAAUAUUAUCUGUUGUUAUUUAUUUAUUUAUUUAUUUAUUACCUCAGGGCAGGGCAGGACGGGGCAGCCUAUAGUCAGCGGGGAUGUGUCAUUUUGCUGCGUAAAGCCUGUUUCAUAAAGGGAGACAGCGUGUCUGUCUGCUCGGGCACUUCACUAUAUAGGACUCUUCCUUUAACACCGCCCGCCGCGCACAAAGGCGCAGGGGCGCACGGAGAGGCAGCUAAACGUUUGAAGACGCCAAGCAGAAAAGGUCAAAAUGUUUAUAUUAUUUUUGAAAAGGGUGGUGCUGAGUGCUCCUUUCCGCCUGAUUGGCUGAACUUGACAGUGAUUGACGUGCAUCCAUGGCAACCGGGCAGCCAAUCUGCCAAGUCCAAUAGGAAAUCAUCGGAGGGGGCUUGACUGUCUUUUUCUCUCCCCCCUCCUUAAAAAUACAUCUCAGCUCGGGCUUUAAUUCUUUCGUACAUUCAAUCCCAGCCUACCUUGAAAAAUAGACUACACCGCCGCAGUGGCUUUAAUUUUUCCCCUUGCACCUUCAGCCCUUUGCCUGCCAAGUUUGCCAAGCCCAGAGGAUGCGGUAGCCGGCCCCCACGCAGCAUUGUCCCUCCUCUGUGGCGUUUUUGGCGUGUGCAUUUUUUCACGGCUGGUCAGACGAUUGGUUCGAUAACUUUGGGAUUGCCUUGUUUUCUGGGUUGUCUUGGAUUGCCUCGGCGCACGGGAAGAAGAAGCGGAGGACUCGGCGCGGAGGGGAGAGAGAGAGGAGAGAGGAGAGGAGAAAGGAGGGGGAGAGG